GGCGAACGCUGGCGGCGUGCUUAACACAUGCAAGUCGAACGGAAAGGCCUUUUCGGAGGUACUCGAGUGGCGAACGGGUGAGUAACACGUGGGUGAUCUGCCCUGCACUCUGGGAUAAGCCUGGGAAACUGGGUCUAAUACCGGAUAGGACCGCACUUUAGUGUGUGUGGUGGAAAGUUUUUUCGGUGUAGGAUGAGCCCGCGGCCUAUCAGCUUGUUGGUGGGGUAAUGGCCUACCAAGGCGGCGACGGGUAGCCGGACUGAGAGGUUGGUCGGCCACAUUGGGACUGAGAUACGGCCCAGACUCCUACGGGAGGCAGCAGUGGGGAAUAUUGCACAAUGGGCGCAAGCCUGAUGCAGCGACGCCGCGUGGGGGAUGACGGCCUUCGGGUUGAAAACUCCUUUCGCCAGGGACGAAGCGUUUUGUGACGGUACCUGGAGAAGAAGCACCGGCUAACUACGUG
rnacentral:rRNA from 1 species